AAGUGGGCACACGCGCACAAAGUACGGACGUGUUUAAGUGAACAAAACUUCAACCUGAAAUUAUUUACAAAACGUUCAUACUGAAAUUAUCGCGUUGGACAUUUUCUUCAAUUUCUCUCCAAAAUGGCAAGUAUAAACAAACAGCUGUUAAUUAGCGAGAUCAAAAAAUAUGAAAUUUUACGGAGUACAACUGAUGAAUACUGAUUGGAUGAACCCUAUGUUUUGUUUUAGUGUGUAAAUACACCAAAGAACUCAAAAUAAAAACAUCAUUGGUAUCCAUCGAUAAAAAUCGUAAAAAUUAAUCGAAUUACACUACC